rnacentral:rRNA from 1 species
GUGGGGAAUCUUCCGCAAUGGACGAAAGUCUGACGGAGCAACGCCGCGUGAGUGAAGAAGGUUUUCGGAUCGUAAAGCUCUUUCGUUAGGGACGAACGUGCUCUUUGUGAAUAAUGAGGAGUAAUGACGGUACCUAAAUAAGAAGCCACGGCUAACUACGUGCCAGCAGCCGCGGUAAUACGUAGGUGGCAAGCGUUGUCCGGAAUUAUUGGGCAUAAAGCGCGCGCAGGCGGGAUAUCAAGUCUGUCUUAAAAGUGCGAGGCUCAACCUCGUGAGGGGACAGAAACUGGUAUUCUUGAGUGUCGGAGAGGAAAGUGGAAUUCCAAGUGUAGCGGUGAAAUGCGUAGAGAUUUGGAAGAACACCAGUGGCGAAGGCGACUUUCUGGACGAUGUCUGACGCUGAGGCGCGAAAGCUAGGGGAGCGAACGGGAUUAGAUACCCCGGUAGUCC